rfam:Selaginella moellendorffii unplaced genomic scaffold SELMOscaffold_6, whole genome shotgun sequence.
CCGAUCGUAGCUCAGUUGGUGGAGCGGAGGACUGUAGUGCUCUUCAGAUAUCCUUAGGUCGCUGGUUCGAUUCCGGCAGAUCGCA